GUCGAGCGAAGCAUACAGGAGGAAGUUUUCGGAUGGUAUCCUGCAUGACUGAGCGGCGGACGGGUGAGUAACGCGUGGGUAACCUGCCUUAUACAGGGGGAUAACAGUUAGAAAUGACUGCUAAUACCGCAUAAGCGCACAGUACCGCAUGGUAGUGUGUGAAAAACUCCGGUGGUAUAAGAUGGACCCGCGUCUGAUUAGCCAGUUGGCGGGGUAACGGCCCACCAAAGCGACGAUCAGUAGCCGACCUGAGAGGGUGACCGGCCACAUUGGGACUGAGACACGGCCCAAACUCCUACGGGAGGCAGCAGUGGGGAAUAUUGCACAAUGGGGGAAACCCUGAUGCAGCAACGCCGCGUGAGUGAAGAAGUAUUUCGGUAUGUAAAGCUCUAUCAGCAGGGAAGAAGAUGACGGUACCUGAUUAAGAAGCCCCGGCUAACUACGUGCCAGCAGCCGCGGUAAUACGUAGGGGGCAAGCGUUAUCCGGAUUUACUGGGUGUAAAGGGAGCGUAGACGGCAUGGCAAGCCAGAUGUGAAAUACCGGGGCUCAACCCCGGGACUGCAUUUGGAACUGUUAAGCUGGAGUGUCGGAGAGGCAGGCGGAAUUCCUAGUGUAGCGGUGAAAUGCGUAGAUAUUAGGAGGAACACCAGUGGCGAAGGCGGCCUGCUGGACGAUGACUGACGUUGAGGCUCGAAAGCGUGGG
rnacentral:rRNA from 1 species